AUUGUUCUAUUAUAUUUAUUAAUAAUUAUAAUAAUAGAAUUUACAAAAUUAUUCUAUUCAUUUUAUUAUAUUAACCAUGUUUCUAUUUUAUAUUUUUGUAAUUUAUAGUAUCGUAUAACGCCUCUGUCAUAAAAGAAAGUUCUAUAUUUUUUAUUGAAUUAUUUUACAAGCUUGAUUUGUUGAUUAUAAAAAUUUUUAAUUGUCUAUAAUCUUUAUUUUGGUAAUAAGAAUAACUUUUUUAGAUUUAGUAAUUUUAAUUUUAAUUAAUAAAUUUACUUAUUUUUUGCUUACUGUGGAUAAAUGUUUGGCCAGUAUUAAUAUAUUUUCCUGAAUUAUAAAGUAAAUAGAAUAUUCUAAUCUCUAACAGAAAUAAUAAAAUAAAUGUAAGAAUAUAGUUGCAUUUAUCCCUUGAAAUUUGAACAUAAAAAGUUAAAAAUCAUUUUAAAAUAAAUAUUAUAUACAUUGUUUAGGAAUAGUUAUAAUAUCAAUCUUGUUUAGUCAUAGUUAAACAUUUUUUUAAGAGUUUUUAGUUUUUAGCUUCUAAGAAAAUUUUCAAAAGAAAUUGUUUGACGAUAGGAGCUUAUAGUUUUUAAUUUAAACAAAAAACUUGAAAUUCUAAAUCCACUUCGAGUAGCAUUUAACAAAACAAAAUUAUAUUUUUGCAAAUUAACUUAGGUGUUGUUUGUUUUUGUAAAAAAAUAUCUUCUAACCAUUUAUUGUUAUGCGUUGCAGCACACACACAACAUUUUUCGUCUCGCAGCAGUUUGUUUUUUAAAAGUCUUCAACAUAAAAAAACAUGUGUGUGUGUUAUGCACUUGUUUUUGUCUCUUUAAACCACUUCUGACCUAAAACCUAAAAAAACAGGCCCAACAUAAAAAAAAAAAAAAAAAACAAAACAAAACAAAACCCUGCUUUCUUGUUUCCCCUCAUCGAAUCCGUCGCACCUACCUUCUCCAUUCAACCUUCAAUUUGCAGCUUCCUUCUCCAUUCAACCUUCGAUUCGCUACCUCACAUCGACACAACACUGUCGGUAAGCAGACCAGCCUUCGUCGUCGCCGUCUCAGCCUCCCUUUGUUGUCGCCAUCCUCAUGAACAAAUUCCAACAAGAAUCAAGAAACCAAUGGAAGCCCACAGGAGAAACCCAUGAACAAAUAACACAUGGAAAAAGAACAAGAACAAGAAGAAUAGGAGUAAAGGUUUUAGCUUUGAAAGAUUCCAUUGUUGUGUUUAGGAGUUCCUAUCAUAUUGUUCAUGUAAUCAAAUGUUUUAGGUAUCGUUUUUGUGAAUAAGAACCUUUUCAACCUAUUUAUGAAAUUAAUCAAAUUCUUGAAAA